CGAGAUCGGUUGAAUUAUAAUUUUUACACGGAAGAUUAUUUCGAAAAAAUGAGUUAUUGUUAUUAUUUCCUAUUAGCAUUUGUGGUAGCGCGUGCGCUGGCCAGCCCCUAUGGAGCCCCGUUGGCAGCUUGUUCGUCAAUGACACCAUUACACGGUUUCGACCCGCAAACUGAUGUAGACUCGCCGUUCAUCAUUUUACCUUUAAUGAAUGAGAUCAUGCAAGGCACAAUUGUUAACCUUGCAUUGUCGACUAUGACGUACGAUUACUUCAAAGGAUUCCUUGUGAUGGCUUUUGAUAACUACGGCUAAACGAUCGGCACCUUUUCCGUUGAUAAGUAUGCUGGCCAAUUGAUGAGUUGUCCUUACGAAAGGAAUAAUGCAGUUACCCAUUUGAUGACAAAUCGUUCGUCCAGUUAAACUGGAUGGCACCGCCCUACUUUACCGGGCCCGUUCACUUCAGGGCUACUUUUGUUAAGGACGUAGCCAACUAUUGGGUGAAAGUCAAUUCGUCUGUCGUGAACGUCGUUCCAUUCGUUAUGCCGUCCUCGGGUGUCAAUUUCGCUGGCACCAGCCCCUUGAUGGCGUUGCCUCUCUUGGCUCUGAUUGUCGGCAUGUUUUGAUUUUCAGCUGUCACUUUUUUGUUGUUGGUAGGACCUUUAGAAAUCUUAUUCUUGUGCUACUUAACGGUUUAAGUGAUUUAUUUAAUCAAUGCCGAGCCAACUUAUAAAGUUUGAUUUAUAUGGUUCUAUUACGGUACGUGAUUCAAUAUAUUAAUUUCGGUCUCUCUUAUUCUAUUUUCGAUUUUAAAACCCUUUGUAAGUGAAGGCAUCGUUGCGUAUUUGAAAAUAGCAUGUCCAAAUUUCAUACGGAGCAAUAGAUAAGAGGAAAUAAUUAUAUUAAUUUCGUCAUACCACUGUUACAUAGCACCGCAUUAAGCACAAUGAAAACAGCACUUGCUAUUACGAUAUUUUGAAUUCGGGUUUUCUUAGUAGUGGUCUUGUUUGUUGUCAGCAUAAUAUGUAUCAGUCAUACCCUCGUUGGUUGUCAGAAUGACUUCGUCAAUGGCAUGGAUUACUCCUUGGGAA